GAAACGGUACGGAAAAUAGAUCGAUCUUCCUUUUUCCCUUGGCAGCUCGUCGUCGUCAAAAGAAGAUCAAUCUGUGGAAUGGAACCUCUCAGGAAGAGUUUGGGUAUUCAGAGGUACCACUGGGAUAACAAGAUGUUCAGCAUCAGUUACCACUGUUCUCGUUGUGUAUCCACAACCAAGAUCGAGGUGGUCACAGGAGCGGAGAGGUCCACAAGAAUGUCAACGGUGGUUCUCACCCCGAGGUGGAAGUGACUUGGGAGGAGGAUGCCAAGGUUCAGAUCCACAUCACCUGUCACUGCGGUGAGAAAAUCGAGUUCAAUCGUCAAGGCAAUUCCGGAUCUAUCCACUCGAUCCCUCGUUAGGGUUUUGUUUCUGUAAUAAUAAUAAUAAUAAGAUGUUGCUUCCUGCUUUGACACUUAUGGGAUGAUUAAUUAUGUCUAAGAUUCUAUAUUUAAGCCUACGUUCUCCGGA